AAAAUCAAUAUCACUUUCGAUUCAUUAAAAUCUACGCCCCCUCGAGUUCAAACUUUUCCAUACAUUGUGUAGAGGCCACUCCACUCAGCUACGGGUUAACCCAUCCAACAGUGGAAAAAGGAAUCCCGGCCUUUGGUUUGCCAACUUAUAGUUAAUAAAAUUGUGGGUGGGUGCAUGCUUUGGUAUAUUUAUAUGAAGAAUAUACUGAAAUGCAACUGUUAAAAUUCGGAAGUGAUAUCAUAAAAUAAUUGACAUAUCCCAUGUUCAAGCAAAAACAAGACCAGAUUACAACUCAAGGGGGAAGUGAUACAAAAAAGUACAGGAUGUCUCUGGGUACUCAAGAACUGAAUAAUGAAGAUAAUUAAACAAAAUAAGCAACCAGGGAGAUGAUGGCAGCAAGUGCAGCCGGUACACCCAACAUUGUUCCAGCACUCUCCGGUGUUGGUGAUGGUGCAGGUGCUGAAACACCCUCAAGUGCGGCUGUUGCUCCCAAGUUCAAGAAAGCAACAAGAACCAUUACGAAGAUGGUAAAAACUUUGGCAGCCUUGAAACUCUCCAUCCCUUUACUUUCCAAGUUUUUUCUUGAGUGCUGCUGACAGUUGGAAAGAAUCAAGACUUGUGUUUUGCUUUUAAGUUGUGAAUAGAGAAGAGAAUGGAAAUGGAUUUAUAUGGGUUGGUUUUGUGAAGUUCACAAGAAUUUGCCAACUAUUUCUUGUUUGUUUUACAAUGAAUGAUAAUACUGAAUGUUGUUUAGGCUGUCAAUAAUGUUUGCAUCUUACUUAAUUAACACUCUGUAUGAACCAGGCUGGCUUAAGUGUGCAAA